rnacentral:rRNA from 1 species
CCUACGGGAGGCAGCAGUGAGGAAUAUUGGACAAUGGGCGCAAGCCUGAUCCAGCCAUGCCGCGUGCAGGAAGAAGCAUCUAUGGUGUGUAAACUGCUUUUGUACAGGAAGAAACACUCCCUCGUGAGGGAGCUUGACGGUACUGUAAGAAUAAGGACCGGCUAACUCCGUGCCAGCAGCCGCGGUAAUACGGAGGGUCCGAGCGUUAUCCGGAAUCAUUGGGUUUAAAGGGUCCGUAGGCGGUUUAAUAAGUCAGUGGUGAAAUCUGGUCGCUCAACGAUCAAAUGGCCAUUGAUACUGUUAGACUUGAAUUAUAAGGAAGUAACUAGAAUAUGUAGUGUAGCGGUGAAAUGCUUAGAUAUUACAUGGAAUACCAAUUGCGAAGGCAGGUUACUACUUAUGGAUUGACGCUGAUGGACGAAAGCGUGGGGAGCGAACAGGAUUAGAUACCCUGGUAGUCCACGCCGUAAACGAUGGAUACUAGCUGUUCGGAGCAAUCUGAGUGGCUAAGCGAAAGUGAUAAGUAUCCACCUGGGAGUACGUUCGCAGAAUGAAACUCAAAGGAAUUGACGG